GACUAUUUAGCUCGCUGAGAGACAAUCCUACUCUGAAGCGCCAUCUAGGUGUUUACGGAUCGAUAGAAGAGGCGGUGUGACUUCACAAAGUAGUGAGGCACCACCAGGAAAAGCAGCUAUUGUGUCCUGGUGGCUUGUGGUGAUGUAGUUAUUGCAGCUAUACUCACUAGCGGUUAGAGAAAACAUUUUUUGGGACAUCCCAGGAACUCUUCUCCAAGAGACGUGAAGAAGAGGCCAACAGCAGAAGGAAAAGUGAAAAUGUCAUCGGAAAGAUGGAACGGUGAAUGAAAGAUAAAAACAAAGAAUAAAACUGUACUUAUUAAACCUAUAUGAACCAAAUAUUUCUCAGAAGUGUUUCAGCAGCAUACAAGAAGAUGAAUGUGAACAUCAAGGCUUGUUUGAUAAUUUGGCUUCUGCUAAUUGGCGAGUUGCAAGCUUCCGUUUUGUAU